GUGAGGAAGCUAACUUCAGGAGAUGAGAUAUAGCUUAUAACAACACGCUUUGAUAUUGCUAUAAUAUAGUUUCUCAUGCUAAGAUUGUGUUGGGUGUAGAACAUGUCAUGCUGCAUUUAUUUNUAUAGUUUCUCAUGCUAAGAUUGUGUUGGGUGUAGAACAUGUCAUGCUGCAUUUAUUUUUUUUAAAAAAAAAAAACAUUGAAAUUAGUUGUAUAGUUAAUUGAAAGAGGAAUUUACAAGAAGGUUUAUUAGUGAUUAGUGUAAGAGAUCAC
rnacentral:lncRNA from 1 species